UCCUGUCCAGCACUGCUCGUGGUUGGGGAGUCCGUGAGCGGAUCCGGAUUCAGGGGCGACAUCUCCGAGUAGGCACGGCCCACCAGCUGAAGUUUGGGCGUGCGCCGCAUGGUUAUGGCGAUUACAAACGGUUAAUGGUGAGGUUCACACAAAACUGGGCAUCUUCGGGAGGAAUCGGGUGAUUUAUACGAUCAACAUAUAUUAUAUUCAGUUUGUCUAGGCAAAUUAGCGAAUGCCGCGAUUGCAAUCUAUUUCAAA